rnacentral:rRNA from 1 species
GGACUACCCGGGUUUCUAAUCCUGUUUGCUCCCCCAGCUUUCGUGCCUGAGCGUCAGUCGUCGGCCAGGGCGCUGCCUUCGCCGUCGGUGUUCCUCCGGAUCUCUACGCAUUUCACCGCUCCACCCGGAAUUCCACGCCCCUCUCCGACCCUCAAGCUGCGCCGUCUGCACGGCACCCUCCCAGUUGAGCCGGGAGAUUUCACCGCACACGCGCGCAGCCGCCUGCGCACCCUUUACGCCCAGUAACUCCGGACAACGCUCGUCUCCUACGUAUUACCGCGGCUGCUGGCAC